CCAUGCAGUCGGACGGUAGCACAGAGAGCUUGCUCUUGGGUGACGAGUGGCGGACGGGUGAGUAAUGUCUGGGGAUCUGCCCGAUAGAGGGGGAUAACCACUGGAAACGGUGGCUAAUACCGCAUAACGUCGCAAGACCAAAGAGGGGGACCUUCGGGCCUCUCACUAUCGGAUGAACCCAGAUGGGAUUAGCUAGUAGGCGGGGUAAUGGCCCACCUAGGCGACGAUCCCUAGCUGGUCUGAGAGGAUGACCAGCCACACUGGAACUGAGACACGGUCCAGACUCCUACGGGAGGCAGCAGUGGGGAAUAUUGCACAAUGGGCGCAAGCCUGAUGCAGCCAUGCCGCGUGUAUGAAGAAGGCCUUCGGGUUGUAAAGUACUUUCAGCGGGGAGGAAGGCGACGGGGUUAAUAACCCUGUCGAUUGACGUUACCCGCAGAAAAAGCACCGGCUAACUCCGUGCCAGCAGCCGCGGUAAUACGGAGGGUGCAAGCGUUAAUCGGAAUUACUGGGCGUAAAGCGCACGCAGGCGGUCUGUUAAGUCAGAUGUGAAAUCCCCGGGCUUAACCUGGGAACUGCAUUUGAAACUGGCAGGCUUGAGUCUUGUAGAGGGGGGUAGAAUUCCAGGUGUAGCGGUGAAAUGCGUAGAGAUCUGGAGGAAUACCGGUGGC
rnacentral:rRNA from 1 species